rnacentral:rRNA from 1 species
AUUGAACGCUGGCGGCAGGCCUAACACAUGCAAGUCGAACGGUAACAGGAAGAAUCUUGCUUCUUUGCUGACGAGUGGCGGACGGGUGAGUAAUGUCUGGGAAACUGCCUGAUGGAGGGGGAUAACUACUGGAAACGGUAGCUAAUACCGCAUAACGUCGCAAGCCCAAAGAGGGGGACCUUCGGGCCUCUUGCCAUCAGAUGUGCCCAGAUGGGAUUGGCUAGUAGGUGGGGUAACGGCUCACCUAGGCGACGAUCCCUAGCUGGUCUGAGAGGAUGACAAGCCACACUGGAACUGAGCCACGGUCCAGACUCCUACGGGAGGCAGCAGUGGGGAAUAUUGCACAAUGGGCGGAAGCCUGAUGCAGUCAUGCCGCGUGUAUGAAGAAGGCCUUCGGGUUGUAAAGUACUUUCAGCGGGGAGGAAGGGAGUAAAGUUAAUACCUUUGCUCAUUGACGUUACCCGCAGAAGAAGCACCGGCUAACUACGUG